CCUACGGGGGGCUGCAGUGAGGAAUAUUGGUCAAUGGGCGCGAGCCUGAACCAGCCAAGUCGCGUGAGGGAAGACGGUCCUAUGGAUUGUAAACCUCUUUUGUCGGGGAGCAAAAGACGCCACGCGUCGCGUUCCGAGAGUACCCGAAGAAAAAGCAUCGGCUAACUCCGUGCCAGCAGCCGCGGUAAUACGGAGGAUGCGAGCGUUAUCCGGAUUUAUUGGGUUAAAAGGGUGCGCAGGCGGCAGUUCAAGUCAGCGGUAAAAUUGAGUGGCUCAACCUCUUCGAGCCGUUGAAACUGGUUUUCUUGAGUGAGUGAGAGGUAUGCGGAAUGCGUGGUGUAGCGGUGAAAUGCAUAGAUAUCACGCAGAACUCCGAUUGCGAAGGCAGCAUGCCGGCGCUCAACUGACGCUCAUGCACGAAAGUGUGGGUAUCGAACAGGAUUAGAUACCCGUGUAGUC
rnacentral:rRNA from 1 species